UAGGGAAUCUUCGGCAAUGGGGGCAACCCUGACCGAGCAACGCCGCGUGAGUGAAGAAGGUUUUCGGAUCGUAAAGCUCUGUUGUAAGAGAAGAACGUGUGUGAGAGUGGAAAGUUCACACAGUGACGGUAACUUACCAGAAAGGGACGGCUAACUACGUGCCAGCAGCCGCGGUAAUACGUAGGUCCCGAGCGUUGUCCGGAUUUAUUGGGCGUAAAGCGAGCGCAGGCGGUUUAAUAAGUCUGAAGUUAAAGGCAGUGGCUUAACCAUUGUUCGCUUUGGAAACUGUUGAACUUGAGUGCAGAAGGGGAGGGUGGAAUUCCAUGUGUAGAGGUGAAAUGCGUAGAUAUAUGGAGGAACACCGGUGGCGAAAGCGGCUCUCUGGUCUGUAACUGACGCUGAGGCUCGAAAGCGUGGGGAGCAAACAGG
rnacentral:rRNA from 1 species